GGCGUCUCCUGGCUUCAGUCCUCUGUCUUCAGAGAUUUUCCUGUGUAUUGGUCCAGUGGAACUACAGGUCCCAGCGUUUCCAGGUCCAGUUUCCAGUCUCCAGUCUUCGAACUCCUGUUUCCAGCGAUCUACUAUUUCUGGCAUCUCCAAGUUGUCUCCCUGUUCCAGUAUUCCUGUGGAACUACAGACUUGAUGCAGUACCUAGAGAUCUAGGAAGGGAUCCUAGGGGUGACAACAUUGUUCAAGGCUAUAAUUUCACAACGACGGCUGGGGUCACGAUAAUGCAAAGUAAAUGGGAUAAAGGAAAGUUGUCUGUACUAUGGAGAGCUACAAUACUGAUGGAUUGGCUAGAUGCCUCACUGAAAAAAGAAAAAUUCACAGAGUACUUCUUUGAAACAUGGCAGAGUUAUAGUGCCACUUUAUCCCCACAACUUAAGGACCAACUAUGGAAACUGUUUCCGGGUUACACUGUGGCAUGAAACACGAAUCUACAAUCAGGAUCCCCCGAUAGCUGUUGAUUCUAACUCCUCUGGAUGACUGCGAUUCAUAGGCCCAGGUCUUCUCAUAAAAUACAUGAUAUUGACAUAGUUUAAACUUCGCAUGGUUUUUAAUAUAUACUAUUAAUAUAUCACAUAAUACCACUGUCAUGCAUGUCAAAUUUGUUUUUGAUAUGUAAUACA